CGGUAAUUCCAGCUCCAAUAGCGUAUACUAAAGUUGUUGCAGUUAAAAAGCUCGUAGUUGGAUUUCUGCGGGGACGGAGCGGCCGGACGCAACUUGCGUCUCGAGCUAGCGCUUUCCCCGCAUCCUGCCGCGAACCGUGCUACCAUUAGCUUGGUGGCGCUGGGGAUCGGCUCGAUUACUUUGAGAAAAAUAGAGUGUUCAAAGCAGGCCACACGCCUUGAAUAAGUUAGCAUGGAAUAAUGACUAAGGACUUCGGUUCUAUUUUGUUGGUGUUCGGGACUGAAGUAAUGACUGAUAGGGACAGUUGGGGCGGUCUGUAUUCCAAAGCGAGAGGUGAAAUUCUUAGACCUUCGGAAGACAAACAGCUGCGAAAGCGUUCCGCAAGGAUGUUCCCUUUGAUCAAGAACGAAAGUUGGGGGAUCGAAGACGGUCAGAUACCGUCGUAGUCUCAACUAUAAACUAUACCAGCUAGGGAUCGGUCAACGUUUAAUCAUUCGACUUGAUCGGCACCUUAUGAGAAAUCAAAGCAUCUGGGUUCCGGGGGGAGUAUGGUCGCAAGGCUGAAACUUAAAGGAAUUGACGGAAGGGCACCACCAGCCGUGGAGCCUGUGGCUUAAUUUGACUCAACACGGGAAAACUUACCAGGUCCAGACAUAGUAAGGAUUGACAGAUUGAUAGCUCUUUCUUGAUUCUGUGGGUGGUGGUGCAUGGCCGUUCUUAGUUGGUGGAGUGAUUUGUCUGGUUAAUUCCGUUAACGAACGAGACCCCAGCCUGCUAAAUAGCGCGGCUGAGCUUCGCUCGGUGCGAGCUUCUUGGAGGGACUAUGAUGCGCGAUAGCACAUGGAAGUUUGGGGCAAUAACAGGUCUGUGAUGCCCUUAGAUGUUCUGGGCCGCACACGGGCUACACUGGCGCCUGCAACGAGCAUAUCAGCUGGCCCGAGAGGGUCUUGGCAAAUCUUUUGAACCGGCGCCGUGCUUGGGAUUGACCAUUGCAAUUGUUGGUCAUGCAACGAGGAAUGCCUUGUAAACGCGAGUCAUCAGCUCGCAUUGAAUACGUCCCUGCCCUUUGUACACACCGCCCGUCGCUCCUACCGAUGAAUGUUCCGAUGAAAUUUUCGGAGAGCGCCAGAGAACGGGGCUCCGCCUUGCAGAUCUGGAGGCUCAAAGUCACUUAAAUCUGAACAUUUCGAGGAAGGAGAAGUCGUAACAAGGUAGCCG
rnacentral:rRNA from 1 species